GACGAACGCUGGCGGCGUGCUUAACACAUGCAAGUCGAACGGAAAGGCCCUGCUUUUGUGGGGUGCUCGAGUGGCGAACGGGUGAGUAACACGUGAGUAACCUGCCCUUGACUUUGGGAUAACUUCAGGAAACUGGGGCUAAUACCGGAUAGGAGCUCCUGCUGCAUGGUGGGGGUUGGAAAGUUUCGGCGGUUGGGGAUGGACUCGCGGCUUAUCAGCUUGUUGGUGGGGUAGUGGCUUACCAAGGCUUUGACGGGUAGCCGGCCUGAGAGGGUGACCGGCCACAUUGGGACUGAGAUACGGCCCAGACUCCUACGGGAGGCAGCAGUGGGGAAUAUUGCACAAUGGGCGGAAGCCUGAUGCAGCAACGCCGCGUGCGGGAUGACGGCCUUCGGGUUGUAAACCGCAUUCGCCUGUGACGAAGCGUGAGUGACGGUAAUGGGUAAAGAAGCACCGGCUAACUACGU
rnacentral:rRNA from 1 species